GUGCCAGCCGCCGCGGUAAUACGGAGGGAGCUAGCGUUGUUCGGAAAUACUGGGCGUAAAGCGAACGUAGGCGGCUAAGUAAGUCAGGGGUGAAAUCCCGGGGCUCAACCCCGGAACUGCCUUUGAAACUGCAUAGCUAGAAUCCUGGAGAGGCGAGUGGAAUUCCGAGUGUAGAGGUGAAAUUCGUAGAUAUUCGGAAGAACACCAGUGGCGAAGGCGACUCGCUGGACAGGUAUUGACGCUGAGGUUCGAAAGCGUGGGGAGCAAACAGGAUUAGAUACCCUGGUAGUCC
rnacentral:rRNA from 1 species